UGUUAAGGCUAGGGGGUCAUCCCGACUUACCAACCCUUUGCAAACUCCGAAUACCAAUGAGUGAUAUGCGGGAGACACACUACGGGUGCUAACGUCCGUUGUGAAGAGGGAAACAACCCAGACCGCCAGCUAAGGUCCCAAAGUACUAGUUAAGUGGGAAACGAUGUGGAAAGGCAUAGACAGCUAGGAGGUUGGCUUAGAAGCAGCCAUCCUUUAAAGAAAGCGUAAUAGCUCACUAGUCGAGUCGGUCUGCGCGGAAGAUGUAACGGGGCUAAACUAGUCACCGAAGCUGCGGAUUCAUAAUUUAUUAUGAGUGGUAGGGGAGCGUUCUGUAAGCCGUUGAAGGUGUGUUGUAAAGCAUGCUGGAGGUAUCAGAAGUGCGAAUGCUGACAUGAGUAACGAUAAGGGGAGUGAAAAACUCCCCCGCCGAAAGACCAAGGUUUCCUGUCCCAUGUUAAUCAGGGCAGGGUAAGUCGGCCCCUAAGGCGAGGCGGAAACGCGUAGUCGAUGGGAAACAGAUUAAUAUUUCUGUACUUCUAUAUAUUGCGAAGGAGGGACGGAGUAGGCUAGGUGAGCACGGCGUUGGUAGUCCGUGUGAAAGUAUGUAGGCGGUUGACUUAGGUAAAUCCGGGUCUUCAUUAACGCUGAGAUACGAGACGAGUGUCCAAGGACAUGAAGUCAUUGAUGCCAUGCUUCCAGGAAAAGCUUCUAAGCUUCAGAUAUAUAGGAACCGUACCCCAAACCGACACAGGUGGUUAGGUAGAGAAUACUAAGGCGCUUGAGAGAACUCGGGUGAAGGAACUAGGCAAAAUAGUACCGUAACUUCGGGAGAAGGUACGCUCUCUAAUGUGAAUGACUUGCUCAGUAAGCAUCGGAGAGUCGAAGUAACCAGGUGGCUGGAACUGUUUAUUAAAAACACAGCACUGUGCAAAAUCGAAAGAUGACGUAUACGGUGUGACGCCUGCCCGGUGCCGGAAGGUUAAUUGAUUGGGUUAGCUCUGCGAAGCUCAUGAUCGAAGCCCCGGUAAACGGCGGCCGUAACUAUAACGGUCCUAAGGUAGCGAAAUUCCUUGUCGGGUAAGUUCCGACCUGCACGAAUGGCGUAACGAUGGCCACACUGUCUCCACCCGAGACUCAGUGAAAUUGAAAUUGCGGUUAAGAUGCCGUAUACCCGCGGCUAGACGGAAAGACCCCGUGAACCUUUACUAUAGCUUGACAGUGAACAUUGCUCCUACAUGUGUAGGAUAGGUGGGAGGCUUUGAAACUUUGUCGCCAGAUGAAGUGGAGCCAACCUUGAAAUACCACCCUUGUAUGCGUGAUGUUCUAACCUAGGGCCCUAAUCGGGCUUGGGGACACUGUCUGGUGGGUAGUUUGACUGGGGCGGUCUCCUCCUAAAGAGUAACGGAGGAGCACGAAGGUUGGCUAAGUACGGUCGGACAUCGUACGGU
rnacentral:rRNA from 1 species